UACGGAGGGUGCAAGCGUUAUCCGGAUUCACUGGGUUUAAAGGGUGCGUAGGCGGGUUGGUAAGUCAGUGGUGAAAGCCCCAAGCUCAACUUGGGAACUGCCAUUGAUACUGCCAGUCUUGAGUGUGGUUGAAGUGGGCGGAAUAUGACAUGUAGCGGUGAAAUGCUUAGAUAUGUCAUAGAACACCGAUUGCGAAGGCAGCUCACUAAACCAUUACUGACGCUGAGGCACGAAAGCGUGGGGAGCGAACAGG
rnacentral:rRNA from 1 species